rnacentral:lncRNA from 1 species
GGCAGGAGGGGCCCGGAGCGGGGAGGAAGGUGGGAUAAGGGGCGGGGCUGUGGAGAACCCCGUCCCCAACGGGGGAACAGCACCGCCUCCCAGCCCCGCGCGCGCCGGGCUCCAACGGCCCUAACGGCCGCAACCGUCACGUGUCUCCUCUCCCCUCUCCUCCAUGGGUGCCGCGCGGGGUGCGUCACUUCCGGGCUGCUGCUGGGGGAGCUCCAGACCCGCGGGAGAGCCGGAUCCGUUAUACACCCUCUGUCACUCACCUCUGUCUCAGGAGACAAGGCGGGUCAUGGGGCGUGGGUGAUGCUAUGCUGGAGAUCCAUCAUCACUGAAGGAGUGGCAGCCUUGACCCUCCUUGAAGGUUGCCGGGAUGCUGACGUGAACUGGCGGAGAACUGGGGCAAGACUGAGUCCAGAGACCAUUUGGCCCACGCUGUGUCACUGUAAAGCCUGCUCUGCAUUGCUGCCAAUUGCUGCUGGUGGCGUUGUGCCCGUAAGUCUCUGUAACGCUGUCUUCAGUGACUCUAUGGCAUGAGCACCAGCCUCAAGCAGACUGGUAAGAAGCAGGGAACAAACCCCGAAUUGGUUGUGAGGUCUAUAUGUAGAUUUCACCAACCAAAUAUCCAGUGUAAAUGCUUCAGGCACUGUAACAGCAUUAACGUGGAAUCACAGACCGUCCCCUUGGGUCAUCCCAUAUAUCUCACCACACAGGUGAGCUCACCUUUGUGACAGAUUGCCCCUUACUCUGGGGGUUCUCAACCUUUUUCUUUCUGAGGCCCCGCCCCAACAUACUAUAAAAACUCCACAGCCCACAUGGGCCACAAUAACUGGUUUUCUGCAUACAAAAUCCAACGCUGGCAUUAGGGGGUAGCAAGCAGGCCAACUGCCUUUGGCCCCAUGCCACAGGGGCACCCACAACGCUACAUUGCUUAGGCUUUGGCUUCAGCCCUGGGUGGUGGGGCUCAGGGGCCUAGACUUCAGCCCCAUGCGCUGGGACUUCAGUUUUCUGCCCUGGGCCUCGGCAAGUCUAAUGCUGGACUUGCUUGGCAGCCCCCUGAUAACUGCUUGUGGCCCCCCAGGGAGCCCCAGACUCCUGAUUGAGAACGACUGCCUUACACCAUGAAUCACAGCAAUGUUCAGGUUACUGCCAGUCCCAAAGGACCAGUCACUUAUUAGGUCAAUUGAAUCUUAGAUCUCACAACAAAGACAACACUUGUAGCCAGUCCUGUCGUAACUGUAUUAAGAUUUAAAAGAAACGAGAGUUGUUUACAAAGUUAAAGCAGGUUAAAGCAGAUGCAGAUGAGUUACAGUCUUAAAUUUCAAAAGGUAAUAGAAGCUUCUAUAAUAAGCAAGCACUACAUAUUCUUUAGGACUAAUGCAUGCUAAGCAGCUGGGGAUCUCCUGCUUAUGCCUAGAAACUUUUUCCCCCAGAGUCCAAGCAGCAUACAGAUAAUCAGUUCCUUCUGUAUGGGGUUUUUUAUCCCCUUCCUGCCAUGUGCUCUGAGCUGGAAACUCAGUUAAUGGGAGGUCAAGAGCACAACAGUCUUUUGUCUUCUUUAACAUCCCAUUAUAGUCUAUCUGGUGUUGACAGACCUCUCCUGCCAGGCAGGGUGUAAUGCAUUCUGUUGCCAAUCAGCACUUCCCCUAGCUAAAGUCUCUCCCCUGUCUGGUGAUUUAAAUAGCCACAGAGGCUCACAAUGCAACUAGUCAGAUAUUAACCCAGGCAGCAACUCAAUAAAGCAUUCAAUAAAGUCUAAACA